GACCGGCUGGUCUAACGGCAUGACGCUCCAUUUCAAUGGCUACAUUAACCCGGAGCAGUGUGGGUUUGACUCCCGCGCUGGUCG
rnacentral:tRNA from 1 species